UUUAAAAUGUUAAAUAAUUCAUAUAAACUUAUUCUUUUUCUCAAUGGUCUCUUGCGUAAGCAGCCAUCCAGUCUCACGAACUUAUAUAUUAAAUAUUAAAAUUAUAAUGAAUAAAAUAAAAAAACAUAAUUAAUUUUACUAUUAAUUCUGUGUAUUCGUUUAGUAAUCAGGUUAAAAUAAUAUUUCAGUUCAUAAUUUGUGUCUUUCUAGAUAAGUAUCUAUUUUUCUCGUUUUGUAUAUUUCACAUACAUAAAUUUUAUCAGAAAAGUAUAAGUUUCAAACCGCGAGAUAGCGCUACCGUCGAAACUCACAGCCAAUAGUGCAAAAAUGGAUAGUAGAAAGGAACAGAAUGGAAAAAGGGAUAGAUGUGAAUUUUGUGGCAGUGAAAGAAAUGAUCGAGCGAAUGAUUGAAAAUAAAUCAGGUUGAAGUAGUAUACAAAACUACAUCCGUGCAGUGAUCAAGAAUAAAGAAGAGAACGAAACACAGCUGUACCAAAGACAAAGGUAUGAAAAAUAAAAAAAAAGGAUGUGACGUUACUAACUUCUGUAUGUACACGUGAAUAAUGAUGCUUAAUAAUUCCGAGUAGAGAGAAAUAUGAUCCAAAUUUGCAGACAAGGAAAUACACUUCAGGUUAAAGUUAAGGGCAAAAAGACUAUUAAACUUAAAUAACGGUAAAUGACGUGAAAAAAUAUAUACCAUACUAGUUUUUAUACCAUACUAGUGGAGGACUAAAUAGUAUUUUUGUUAUUUUAAAUUUUAUUUUGUCGGGUUACAAGAAUAUAUUUUUAUUUUAACUUAA